UUUAGAGCUUCUUGAACAGCACGUUAUGACUUUGCACGCAGUCACGAGGACAUUAGAGUACCUGACUACAUCAUCCACAUAUUAUAUAUAUACUUGCAACCCUAGUAUAGCGGCCGCAUCAAACAUAUCCUGUCGGGAUCGCCGAAUCACAGUUGCGAUCUGAGCCGAACCUCAUAUUGACGUUUGCUGUUUCGGAUCUGUACGGCUGAAGAGAUUCGAAGAAGGAGACUAGCUAGAUUAAGACUGAUCAUACAUGGCAGGCCCACAUGGAGAUGGCAACCAAAAUGAAGCUUUUGGUUCAGGCCAACCCAUGCCCUGGAUGGCUUGGUUAGAAAGGAAAGCUCAGGCCAACCCACGCACUGAAUGGUUGAAGGCAAUCGAACCCACUAUCAAAGCGAUUGCAAGGGGACGGUUCAGCGGUGGAGCAGCAGCAGACGAGUGACUGCCCCCGGUCCCUCCUAACACCUUCCUAUAGCUAAUAAUUAUGUGUGUGUGUAAGAAAAUGAAAUUCUUUUUUAUUGAUUUAAUAAAUUGAGGGAUGUGCAAGGCGAAAUCAUGGAUACACUAUAUUGCAACAGCGUUCAGUAUGGAACUGGAGCAAUUAAUCAUGUCCGUGGUGUUGACCUGGCGUCUUCUUAUCUGACUCUGUUUGGUAACGCUUUUGCUUCAGGCCACCCCAUGCCAUUGUGGGAUUGGUUAGAAAAGAAAGCUCAUGCCCUGAUCUCCGUUGGCGGGGCUGAUCUUGAAGCUGUAUGGUUGAAGGCAAUCGAACCCACUAUCAAAGAGAUUGCAAGGUGCCAGCUUUCUAGUUGAUGUAAUGAAAUGUAAUGUAGUUUAUGUAUUUAAUGAACUGGAAAUUUUGUUGAGGAUGAUAUGGCACUUUAUCAAAUUUUUAAUGCUGUAAGUGGAGUAUGCUAGGCAGAAGAUGAAAUUAAAGUUUUAUCUGUACUAGGGGAAAAGAACCCGCGCUUCGCCGAGGGUGAUUCUUACUCUAA